rnacentral:rRNA from 1 species
UUUGAAGUUAGCGGCGGACGGGUGAGUAACACGUGGGUAACCUACCUAUAAGACUGGAAUAACUUCGGGAAACCGGAGCUAAUGCCGGAUAACAUUUGGAACCGCAUGGUUCUAAAGUAAAAGAUGGUUUUGCUAUCACUUAUAGAUGGACCCGCGCCGUAUUAGCUAGUUGGUAAGGUAACGGCUUACCAAGGCAACGAUACGUAGCCGACCUGAGAGGGUGAUCGGCCACACUGGAACUGAGACACGGUCCAGACUCCUACGGGAGGCAGCAGUAGGGAAUCUUCCGCAAUGGACGAAAGUCUGACGGAGCAACGCCGCGUGAGUGAUGAAGGUUUUCGGAUCGUAAAACUCUGUUAUUAGGGAAGAACAAAUGUGUAAGUAACUGUGCACAUCUUGACGGUACCUAAUCAGAAAGCCACGGCUAACUACGUGCCAGCAGCCGCGGUAAUACGUAGGUGGCAAGCGUUAUCCGGAAUUAUUGGGCGUAAAGCGCGCGUAGGCGGUUUCUUAAGUCUGAUGUGAAAGCCCACGGCUCAACCGUGGAGGGUCAUUGGAAACUGGGAAACUUGAGUACAGAAGAGGAAAGUGGAAUUCCAUGUGUAGCGGUGAAAUGCGCAGAGAUAUGGAGGAACACCAGUGGCGAAGGCGACUUUCUGGUCUGUAACUGACGCUGAUGUGCGAAAGCGUGGGGAUCAAAC